rnacentral:tRNA from 1 species
ACGUUCGUAGCUCAGUUUGGUUAGAGCGCUACUAUGACAUGGUAGAAGUCAGUGGUUCAAAUCCACUCGAACGUA